AGUUUGGUGACCGAAGUGUAGGUGACAGAUUUUUAAUCUGUUCAUGAAAUUUGUUUUCCCAAACUG
rnacentral:tRNA from 1 species